AGAGUUUGAUCCUGGCUCAGAUUGAACGCUGGCGGCAGGCCUAACACAUGCAAGUCGAGCGGUAGAGAGGUGCUUGCACCUCUUGAGAGCGGCGGACGGGUGAGUAAAGCCUAGGAAUCUGCCUGGUAGUGGGGGAUAACGCUCGGAAACGGACGCUAAUACCGCAUACGUCCUACGGGAGAAAGCAGGGGACCUUCGGGCCUUGCGCUAUCAGAUGAGCCUAGGUCGGAUUAGCUAGUUGGUGAGGUAAUGGCUCACCAAGGCGACGAUCCGUAACUGGUCUGAGAGGAUGAUCAGUCACACUGGAACUGAGACACGGUCCAGACUCCUACGGGAGGCAGCAGUGGGGAAUAUUGGACAAUGGGCGAAAGCCUGAUCCAGCCAUGCCGCGUGUGUGAAGAAGGUCUUCGGAUUGUAAAGCACUUUAAGUUGGGAGGAAGGGCAUUAACCUAAUACGUUAGUGUUUUGACGUUACCGACAGAAUAAGCACCGGCUAACUCUGUGCCAGCAGCCGCGGUAAUACAGAGGGUGCAAGCGUUAAUCGGAAUUACUGGGCGUAAAGCGCGCGUAGGUGGUUCGUUAAGUUGGAUGUGAAAUCCCCGGGCUCAACCUGGGAACUGCAUUCAAAACUGUCGAGCUAGAGUAUGGUAGAGGGUGGUGGAAUUUCCUGUGUAGCGGUGAAAUGCGUAGAUAUAGGAAGGAACACCAGUGGCGAAGGCGACCMCCUGGACUGAUACUGACACUGAGGUGCGAAACGUGGGAGCAACAGGAUAGAUACCCUGUAGUCCACGCCGUAAAGAUGUCAACUAGCCGUUGGGAGCCUUGAGCUCUUAGUGGCGCAGCUAACGCAUUAAGUUGACCGCCUGGGGAGUACGGCCGCAAGGUUAAAACUCAAAUGAAUUGACGGGGGCCCGCACAAGCGGUGGAGCAUGUGGUUUAAUUCGAAGCAACGCGAAGAACCUUACCAGGCCUUGACAUCCAAUGAACUUUCCAGAGAUGGAUUGGUGCCUUCGGGAACAUUGAGACAGGUGCUGCAUGGCUGUCGUCAGCUCGUG
rnacentral:rRNA from 1 species